rnacentral:rRNA from 1 species
GGACUACUGGGGUUUCUAAUCCUGUUUGCUCCCCACGCUUUCGCGCCUCAGCGUCAGUAUCGGUCCAGUGAGCCGCCUUCGCCACCGGUGUUCUUCCCAAUAUCUACGAAUUUCACCUCUACACUGGGAAUUCCACCCACCUCUCCCGAACUCGAGUUCUCCAGUCCCAAAUGCUAUUCCCAGGUUGAGCCCGGGGCUUUCACAUCUGACUUGAAGAACCGCCUGCGCGCCCUUUACGCCCAGUAAUUCCGAACAACGCUCGCCCCCUUCGUAUUACCGCGGCUGCUGGCAC